rnacentral:rRNA from 1 species
GCUCAGAACGAACGCUGGCGGCAGGCCUAACACAUGCAAGUCGAGCGCGCCUUUCGAGGUGAGCGGCGGACGGGUUAGUAACGCGUGGGAAUAUACCCUUUUCUACGGAAUAGCCUCUGGAAACGGAGAGUAAUACCGUAUGAGCCCUUCGGGGGAAAGAUUUAUCGGGAAAGGAUUAGCCCGCGUUAGAUUAGGUAGUUGGUGGGGUAAUGGCCUACCAAGCCUACGAUCUAUAGCUGGUUUUAGAGGAUGAUCAGCAACACUGGGACUGAGACACGGCCCAGACUCCUACGGGAGGCAGCAGUGGGGAAUCUUGGACAAUGGGGGCAACCCUGAUCCAGCCAUGCCGCGUGAGUGAUGAAGGCCUUAGGGUCGUAAAGCUCUUUCGCCUGUGAAGAUAAUGACGGUAGCAGGUAAAGAAACCCCGGCUAACUCCGU